rnacentral:sRNA from 1 species
AUCUUCACGGUCACGCCGCGCCCGGUCUCAAAUCCCGCCCCUUUCAGGCAGUCGCCUUUAAGGUGCCGGCUGGGGUGCUGUGAAUAGUAGGUGGUCAUGUAGGUUUUGCUGGA